AUUGAACGCUGGCGGCAGGCCUAACACAUGCAAGUCGAACGAGUGGCGGACGGGUGAAUAAUGUCGGGGAAACUGUACGAUGGAGGGGGAUAAAUUGUGGAAAAGGUAGAUAAUACCGCAAACCAUCGGAUGCGCCCAGAAGGUAUUAGCUUGAAGGUGGGGUAACGGCUCACCGAGGGGAAGAUCUCUAGCUGGUCUGAGAGGAUGAAGAGCCACACUGGAACUGAGACGCGGUCCAGACUCCUACGGGAGGCAGCAGUGGGGAAUAUUGCACAAUGGGCGAAAGCCUGAUGCAGCCAUGCCGCGUGUAUGAAGAAGGCCUUCGGGUUGUAAAGUACUUUCAGCGAGGAGGCGUUACUCGCAGAAGAAGCACCGGCUAACUCCGUGCCAGCCGCCGCGGUAAUAC
rnacentral:rRNA from 1 species